CAAUAUUGCUGGCUGUUGAACCUCCGCUCAUUGCUCGAUCACGCGUGCUAACUCGACUUGCACUCCUUUCAAAUAUUCAAAAUAUUAGCUUUGAAGUGUCGAGUUGAAAUUUCGUUAUUCGGGCACGCCUAAAUGAAAACUGAAAAUUUAUCAGUCAACGGUGUCACCCAAAAUAAGCCGUGAAGUGAAUACCAGAUGUCGCAUCGUCUGCGAUGUCUGAUCGGAAUUUGCCUGGAUACGAUUCAGGCACCAUCUCAUCGAUUCUCACAGAGGAAGGAUGAAGCUCUUGCUGAGCAGCCGAAAGUUGA